GUUCGCUUAUAUGUUCCCAAGCAUUAAAAGGUACAUAUAUGUACCUUUUCCUUUAAAGGUUAAGGUACAAUAUCAAGAGCCAGCCCUGAUUGGCUGCUUGAUUUUCAAAUUAAAAGAACGUCCAGUUGGCGGUCUUUCUUUCGGCGGAGACGAAGUCAUAGCACGUAACAGGGCAGUAAAAUCAGCAGUGUAAUAUUUGCAGUGUUAAAAGUUAUUAAUUCCCAAAGAUUUGAAUUAACAAUCCACAGUGUUAAACAGUACUCGUGUUCAGUGUUGUUAUAUGGUGUAAUUUCACUUUUACACUAAAAGUGCGAAAUAAAAGACCCGCCGAAUUGUCUGGACUCCGCCCUUCAGUGACUGCUGCCUCGCGAAGCGACAACGCCAUCCUUUCUUCGAACGACCGAGACGGUAAGCUGGACUGCUUUUCUCUUGAUAAAAGUACACUGGAAAAACAUUUUUGUUGAUAAUUUAACUCGAAAUAUGAUUUGGUGGUGAACACAUUUAGAAAUUACUAAUCGCAAGUGUUUUGUCAGGUUCAGUGUUAAGGUCGUUCGUUAAUUUAUGUUAUAACGUUAUAUGCUUUACGCUUCUUUUAUUUUUAGUUGGUCGUCCUCUCGCCUCUGUUCCCUCCUCGGCCUGGGGUUACUGCGAAUCUGGCGCUGAAGACUGAAGCUGCUAACGUUAUAUUCGAAGCCUCAGAAGACCUUCAAGGAUCCAGUUGACCUCUGAAUCAGCUGUUAAGAAAAUGGGACAGUUAUAUUGCUUCAAUUGGUCUCCUACUUCAUUUGAUUCCAC
ensembl:lncRNA